GGGCCAACCCUUCUCUGUAGCAAAAGAGUGGGAAGAUUUUAAAGUAGAGGUGAUAUACCUACCGAGCCUAGAGAUAGCUGGUUAUUCAAGAAAAGGAUUUUAGUCCACCUUUAAGUUUUAUAACACAAAUAAACACUUCACCUAAAUUCUUCACCUAAAUACUUAAUAAACUUAAAAAGCACUCAAAUAAGGUACAGCCUAUUUGAAUCAGGAAACAGCCUCCAAUACUGGGUAAUGACACCCCCCCCCCC
rnacentral:rRNA from 1 species